CAGCUCUGCAGACGGACGGAGGAAUUGGAGGUCGUCUUCUACGCUCGUUCCCAUAUAUAGCCCACUGGUCCUGCUUCUGCUCUAUAGUCGUCGUCUUCUCCUUCUCCGAUUGGAACCCUAUUCUUGAAUUUCAGUUUCAAUUUCUAUAACUUAAGAAAUAGGCGUCGACUCCACCACCACCGUCUUUCUGAAAAUUGGAAGCAGAUAAAAGAGAUAUGGCGAUGCGGGACCUAGUUGCAGGAGGAGCGGCAUGUGCGGUUCCGGGUUCUUCAUCUUCCAAUCCUCUUGGUGCUUUGGCCAAUACUCUCCUAGGCUCUUCUUCUAAGACCCAGGAAAGGUUAAAGGAAAUCCCUAUAGCGACUGCUACAAGUUCUGAGAAUCGUUUUUUCCAGGAUGUUGAGGACCCUUUGAGGGCACUUCCAGGGGCUGAGUUUGAACAACAGCCAUUUCCUCGACCCGGUGGUCAGGGUUCUGAAUUUCUUCGUGGGUUUCGCUCUGCGGAUCAGAAUGAGAAUGGACUUGCAGAUGCUUGGGAUGAGAUACAGCGGUCUCAUGUUCAUCCUCCACCUCAGGCUAACAUUCCUCAAUUGGAUCAUGUGUAUAAUCGUGGACCUCAGCUUCAACCAACUUUGGAUGGACCACCUCAAAGAGUGCUGUCAAACUUCUUGCACUCGUUUGUUGAAAGUAGCCGCGGUGCAAUCCCUUUUCAUCCUGCUCCACUGCCAUUGUUAGGAUUAUCUGAAGGCGACAAACAAUGCAUACGUGAUCGUAGCAGCAUAAUGGCUCGACACUUUUUUGCUGAUAAAAGUGAAGAUUUCAUUAAUGCACAGGUGAAUGCCUUAUUGUCUUCGUUAGAUAUUGAUAGUGAUGUCCACGUGAAGGGGCCUCUACCUGGGAGAUUUCGAGAACUAGAGGAUUACUGGAAUGAAUCACAAGGUAGUCUAAGACCAGGUCCUCAUGCAGCUGAUGGAUGGAUUGCAGAAUUUAACCAGCAUAGAUUAGAUCGUAGUGAUCCUGAUGCUUGGGCUCAUGCAUUUGAACGGCAGCACGGUGCUAAUGGUUGGGCCUCAGAAUUUGAGCAGGUACUUGCAUUUGGCAUUAAUCUUUAAAUUUGCGGAUGGAUCACACUCAUUGGUUUGAACAUCACAUGGUUGAUCUUGGAAUCUUCUCACUUAUACAUUUGUCAAAGGUGGACUUGAAAUUGUAGGUUCAUUAAGAUAUGAUUCCUGAAAAUUGGUUGUAUGAAUAUUUGGACAUGGCAUGAAUGAUGUAUUUUGUCUUGUCUUAUUUAUUUUUGGUUAUAGCAACAACAGUUGGCAUCAAUGGAUCAAAUAAGAGGUGCAAAUAUCCCAAACUUAGCAGCAAUGGAACAGACUCGUAUGCUUGCCCACACACUUGCUCAAAAUAAUGACCCUAAAUUUCAGAAUUCAAAGUUUCUUCAAUUUGUGUCAAAGAUGAGUCGUGGUGAACUUAUUAUUGAUGAUAAUCAAUUCAAGCCAGCCGCUGGACCUAGUGAUUGGGCAACAGAAUAUCAACAAAAGAAUACUGGGGGUACUUCUUGGGCUGAUGAAUAUGUACGUGAUGAGGUUUCACAUGGACCUGAUCGAUGGGUGAAUGAGUUUACCACAGAAGCAGAGCAAAAUGGGUCUGUUGAUGAUCAAUGGGUAAAUGAAUUCUCAAAGUUGCAUGUUAAUGACUGGGUGGAAGAAUUUGGGCAGCAGGUUGAGAAAGGAGAACUGGGGGAUAGUUCAGCUGAUAAUUGGGCAAAUGCCUAUGAUGAGUACCUCAAUGAACAAGUAGCUGUCAAGAAGCAGUCAGAAGCUUCAAGGGGAGUUUAUGUGUUCUCUGAUAUGAAUCCUUAUGUUGGUCACCCCAAUCCCUUAAGAGAGGGCCAGGAGCUAUUCCGCAAAGGUCUUUUGAGUGAAGCGGUGCUUGCUUUAGAGGCUGAAGUCUUGAAAAACCCAGAUAACGCUGAAGGUUGGAGGUUACUUGGAAUAGCACAUGCAGAAAAUGAUGAUGAUCAACAGGCUAUUGCAGCAAUGAUGCGUGCACAGGAGGCUGAUCCCACAAAUCUUGAAGUGCUUCUUGCCCUUGGUGUGAGUCAUACAAAUGAGUUGGAGCAAGCAGCUGCCUUGAAGUACUUAUAUGGAUGGCUACAUAAUCAUUCAAAGUAUAGAACGCUUGCCACUCCAGAGCUUGCUAAUUCAUUACAUUAUGCAGAUGUUGCUAGAUUAUUCAAUGAAGCUUCUCAGAUGUCACCUGAGGAUGCUGAUGUACACAUUGUACUUGGCGUGCUAUAUAAUUUAUCCAGGGAAUAUGACAGAGCCAUUGCUUCCUUCCAAAUGGCUUUGAAGCUCAAGCCACAGGAUUACUCCCUGUGGAACAAGCUUGGUGCAACGCAAGCCAACAGUGUUCAGAGUGCUGAUGCAAUAUUGGCUUAUCAACAGGCACUUGAUUUGAAGCCUAACUAUGUUCGUGCAUGGGCAAACAUGGGAAUCAGUUAUGCCAACCAGGGUAUGUACGAGGAGUCCAUUCGUUACUAUGUGCGGGCACUUGCUAUGAAUCCCAAGGCAGAUAAUGCCUGGCAAUAUUUGAGAAUUUCAUUAAGCUGUGCUUCUAGGAAUGACAUGCUGGAAGCUUGUGAUUCUCGGAAUAUAGACUUACUGCAGAAGGAGUUUCCGCUGUAAUAUUGAUGUUGGUUUGAAUUGAUGGAUGAAUGAUGGGUUCCCAUUUUGUGAGAGUGAGGGCUACACACUUUAAAGCCUUCUUCGUGUCACUUAAAAGCUCUUUGCAUCCACGUCGAUUUUAGGUAUGGCUGCAUGUUUUGCUACAUUCAGAUCUGCUCUUUCCUGAUCUUUGGAAGAACUUAAGUGAAAGUUUUUGAAGUUGGAAAACCACAACUGAUAUUUGGAGCUGACACUAACAAUUGUAUGUAGUUUAAGUGCUAUACUAGAAGCUGUCAUGAUUCUUAAACACAUAAAUGGAAAAGGGUAAUUUAAUAUAUAACUAGUUUUUUUGCUGCA
rnacentral:misc_RNA from 1 species